AGUGUCAUAAGAAGUACAUCCCUGUAUGCGGGUCGAACGGAGACACGUACCAGAACGAGUGUUUCUUGAGAAGAGCCGCCUGCAAGAAACAGAGAGCUAUCACCAUCAUGUCAGAGGGACCCUGUUACCACGAUGGUGCUUCAGGAUCUGGUGAUGGAGAUGAUGAGGGCUCGGGUCGCGGUAAAAAGGCCUCGAAAUGUGGAAACUGCAAGUUUGGAGCCGAAUGUGACGAAGACUCUGAAGACAUGCU